UACAGAGGUCUCAAGCGUUGUUCGGAUUCAUUGGGCGUAAAGGGUGCGUAGGCGGCGCGGUAAGUCGGGUGUGAAAUCUCGGAGCUUAACUCCGAAACUGCAUUCGAUACUGCCGUGCUUGAGGACUGGAGAGGAGACUGGAAUUUACGGUGUAGCGGUGAAAUGCGUAGAUAUCGUAAGGAAGACCAGUGGCGAAGGCGGGUCUCUGGACAGUUCCUGACGCUGAGGCACGAAGGCAGGGGAGCAAACGGG
rnacentral:rRNA from 1 species